rnacentral:lncRNA from 1 species
AGGAAUAUAACGUUUUAGUGAGAUCCAAGGGCCAUGAAGCUCCCGCGUGGGGAUGGUGGUGGAAACCACCAUCUUCUCCGGCAAUCUAACCAGAUCCGGCCACCACGCGUAGGGAAUUAAACUUCAAUGAAAAUGAAAAAGGAAGGUAUCAAAAUGAAGUUGGGGUGAUGUACAUCACCCCUGUGACCAUGGAUCAUCCUCAAAGUCUCUAUUCAGAAAGAAACAUGAGCUUGAAGAUCAAGGUGCUUGAUCUAAAACGGCACGAUUUGCAAAAU